AAGCAGAAGGCUCUGGCUGAGGGAGAGACGAGGGAAGGCAGGCUGGAGGAGAGGCAAGGAGACGGAGAACUGGGCCGGGGUAGGAGCUCCGAGGCCGGGGUGCUAGGGGGAUGACACGGCACAGAAGGCUGGGAGUAAGGUGGGAAACCCGGAUGGUAAAUGUAGGAAGGAAAGAACCAUGCAGAAACCAGCUAGGUGGGAGGAAAUUGAGGGAGGCCACGGUGAAGAUCCUAGAUACCUGAUGGAGGAAUAAUAUUGUAAAGGAGGAAUAAAAGUGGGAGAGUGACAAUGUUGAGGAGAAGGCUGGAACUUUGAGGGAAGAGGAAGACAAGGCCAGAUGGAGAACAUGAACUGACAGAAAAAUCGUAGAAAGGUCCUGUCAAUGCUCAGAACAGACAGAAAUACAAUUCUUUGCUGAGAUUAGUGUUUAGAUGGAGCAAGACACGCUGGAGACUAAGUCCAAAACCAGUUAGAGCAGAGGACAUAGACUAAACUCAGACUCUUGAUAGAGAUAGAGACAGAAGACCAGAGGCUGAUGAAGGACUACAGAGAGAAAGAUGUGAACAUUUACAUUCCAGCUUUAGGAGCAGAGAUUCUGUCUUCCUUUUUCCUGCCAUGGAUAUUAUGCUCAUUUGGAGAGCAACUGACAUCCAAUCAGACAUCAGGGUUGCAGGCUGUGUCAUAAAGACAGCCGUGACAUCACUGCAAGGGCGCGCGGAGAGGAGACGAGCGGAGCUUCUGCACACGGACAAGCGGGGCUCCGCGGGGCUGCACGCCGACCCGGGACCAGCCUCCGCCGCCGGAUCCGAGCGGCGCGGACCACCAGCGGGCGGCCCGGCGGCGGCUGUGCGCCCGGACGCGCGGCGGCUCCGACACCGCGGGGGAGGAAAAGAGAAAGAGAGAGAGAGAGAGAGAGACAGGGGGAGAGAGAAGGGCUGCACGCCGGAGGACGGAUGAGGAUGGUUGAAUUUCUGCCAAUCAAGACGACUCCCAAAAACUGGCAUGGCAUGACAGAUGGGUGAAAACGAGGCUGACCAGGACAACGUGUAUGGAUGGCGAACAGGAAUUGGUAACGCUGGCUGUGCUACACCCGGUCUGAAGGAGAGGAUGGUGGCAUCACCGUGCUCGCUCACACUGCAGAUUUUUGCAGCGCUGCAAAGGCAGAGCUUGUCGUCAUACGCGUGAGCCAUUUCCAAGUGAAGCUAACAAAAUUAAGCUGAAUCAAACUGAACUGGAAUGAACUGAAGUCAAAAA